UAUUGGACAAUGGGCGCAAGCCUGAUCCAGCAAUACCGCGUGUGUGAAGAAGGCCUUAGGGUUGUAAAGCACUUUCAAUUGGGAGGAAAACCUGCCGGUCAAUACCCGGUAGCUUGACAUUACCUUUAGAAGAAGCACCGGCUAACUCCGUGCCAGCAGCCGCGGUAAUACGGAGGGUGCGAGCGUUAAUCGGAAUUACUGGGCGUAAAGCGUGCGUAGGCGGUUCGUUAAGUCAGAUGUGAAAGCCCUGGGCUCAACCUGGGAACGGCAUUUGAAACUGGCGGACUAGAGUUUAGUAGAGGGGAGUGGAAUUUCAGGUGUAGCGGUGAAAUGCGUAGAUAUCUGAAGGAACACCAGUGGCGAAGGCGACUCCCUGGACUAGAACUGACGCUGAGACGAAA
rnacentral:rRNA from 1 species